GGCGCUGUAGCUGAGCGGUAAAGCGCUUGGCUUCUAAACCGGGGGGCCCCGGGUUCGAAUCCUGGUGAAGACU
rnacentral:tRNA from 1 species